rnacentral:rRNA from 1 species
AUUGAACGCUGGCGGCAGGCCUAACACAUGCAAGUCGAGCGAGAGGCGGACGGGUGAGUAAUGUCUGGGAAACUGCCUGAUGGAGGGGGAUAACUACUGGAAACGGUAGCUAAUACCGCAUACCAUCAGAUGUGCCCAGGUGGGGUUAGCUAGUAGGUGGGGUAACGGCUCACCUAGGCGACGAACCCUAGCUGGUCUGAGAGGAUGACCAGCCACACUUGCACUUAGACACGGUCCCGUGUCCUACGGGAGGCCGCAGUGGGGAAUAUUGCACCAUGGGCGCAAGCCUGAUGCAGCCAUGCCGCUUGUGUUAAGAAUGCCUUCGGGUUGUAAAGCACUUUCAGCGGGGAGGCGUUACCCGCAGAAUAAGCACCGGCUAACUCCGUGCCAGCCGCCGCGGUAAUUC